rnacentral:lncRNA from 1 species
GGGAGAGGCACAGGGUGUGCAUGGGUGAGAAGAUGGGAGGGGGGAAAGCCCUUUUGCACUAGUGAAAGGUCCCUGUGCUGGCUUCCACUAGUGUACUGGGAUAGUUCAGGGUGCCUAAUCAUCAUCAGCAGCAUCAAACCUAACCAAACAACAUCAAAAGAUCAAUAUAAUGCUGCUAAAGCCCAGAGUGGGUACAAGUCAAGGUUGUCGAAUCUUUACUGCUAGAACCCCAAGUAUUACCAACCACAGCCAGGUGCAAAAGCCAUAUAGUUGGAAAUAAAGGACAGGCUUCAUCUGAACACACCCUGGAAUGCAGAAACAUGUUUUUAGCACGAGAACAGAACACAAUCUUUUCACACAUUCAUCCACUCCCAGUUAGCUUUCUUCAUUUCAGCAGCCCAAUUUAGGUGGAGAAAGUCACUUUGUAUGAUUCGGGUUGUAUCCAAUGUAGCACUGAAUAACUCAUUCUGUUAGCACAAAGAUUUAGGCUUGUGCAAUGGGACUUCCUCUUCUUCUCCUGCCCCGAACCUCCUUAAUCUGUUCUUAAUAGAAAACAUUGCAAAGUGUCAUGCAACCUAAAACACAGUAUUACAGUAAAAAUUAUUUUAAAAUGUCGAGCACAUCAGUAAAAGCUGUUUAGCAAAGAAUCUGAGGUUUCGAAAGGCCCGUCUGAAUCAUACAAAUUUUAGAAGACAUCUAAAAACAAGCAGGGGUGACUUCUGCUGAACUUCUAUUGGCAAGGAGGGGCCUGCCACACCAAACGCUAGGCCAGGGGCUGUCAAUCUGGUCCCUACUGCCCACUAGUGAGCGUUUCAGGAUUCUAGGUGGGUGGUACGGGCUUCUACGGCACAAGCUGAAUCCUCCUUCCAUCGAGCACUGGUGGGCGGUAAGGAAAUUUUACCAUCAAGAAAGAUUCAUUAGUGGGCGGUAGGUAUAAAAAGGUUGACUACCCCUGGGCUAGGCUGUUGAUAAGCCUAUAUACUUCAGCAGCAGUAGCAGCAGUAGUAGGGGUAGGUGCUAUUGUUAUUACUUAAACAAAGUCUCUGUCCACCAUUUUAAUGUGGCCUGUACAGGAUGAGCAUCAUUCAGCAACUGUUUGAAAUCACUGCAUGCACCCCAGUCCAGAUCGUGAACCAAACCCAAUUGAAAUCAAGCGGGGGCAGCUACCAUUAAGACCCCUCAUGUGUUUCCAAGUAAUCUGUUUAGUAUCAUGCACAGCUUGGCCUAAGCACAAAGAGGAAGAGAAGCCUUGUCUGUGGGUCAUGAAGGCACAAGUCCUUAAGAAACAAGAAACCCCAUAUCAUACAUUGGCUUCCCCCAAAUAAGCAGGGGAACUAUAGUUUGUUAAGGGUUCUGGGAAUUGUGGCUCUGUGAGCAGUAAGCUACAAUUCCCAGGAUUCUUAGGGGGGAGCCAUGACUGUUAAAGUGGUAUAAAUGUGCUUUGAAUUUAUGGCACAUGUUUACCCAUGUUGUGAUGAGCAGGGAAGAUCUUUGUACCUUUCCCCUGUAGUUUCUUACUUUCUUUAUAAAGUUAAUAUGGUUGGACUGUUAUGGAGGUAAAAUGAAGACAGAAAAAGAAGAGGAGGAGGAAGAAGAAGAAGAAGAAGAAGAAAGGAGCUUCCCAAUGACUUUAAAUGUAAACAUUAAGAUUGUAGGCAGGUUUAUUAUCAGCUCUUUUCAAAUACUGCACGCAUGCAAGCCAGCACAGCAGAAUUACAUUACAUGGAAUAUGUAUUUAGAAUAGUCCAGCAAAGGUGGUAGAAUCUCCUUGGGACUGCUUCUGUCCACCUCCUCCCUGCUUGCCAUCUGUCUGAUUCAAAUAGGCCAGAAUUCUGAUCUACAUUUCUAUGGAAAUUAUUCAAUAUUUUAAAACAGUAAUUAAGCUAAAAAUUGUAUUAGCUGAGCCAAGAGCUGAUGGGGUUGGCAAUGUUCCUAAACCAAAAGUGCAGUUUGGAAGCUUCUGCUAGAUAGCAGUGGAGACAUUCCUGGCCAGGAAUGCAACCUACAGUACUUACUGUGUAGGUAUGUUAGUGACUUCAGACACUGGCGAUACACAUGGAUACCGGAAGCGCAAGUUGCGUUUCCUGUAUGUGCACCUAUCAUUGACAUCUGAAGUAGGGAAUUGUGAUUUUGCCCAGUGAAGAAGUGCAUAUGCUUUAAAUAAUUUUAAUAAUAACAAUUUUAUUAUUUAUACCCUGCCCAUCUGGCUGAGUUGCCCUAGGCACUUUGAUGGUGGUACAGACUAUGCAUCGUCCAACAAAGGAGAUACAUGGAGUUCCCUCUUUGGACACAAUCUAUAUGUGUGAAUGCAAGAAACUUGAUUGACCGGUGCUUCCUAUUGACCUGCUAAUUCAGCAUUCAUCCAGAGCUGCUUGCACAAAGUUGACAUGUUGGUUAGAUUAUGCUUGGUUUUUACUGAGCAUUUGUUCUGAUUUAUUUAUGGAGUGGUUGUAUGACCAUAAAUAUUUACUAUGCUACAUUCAUCAUGAUAUGCUUGUGGGGUGUUUCCAUGUCUCCCUGCUCACUCAUUCUACAAUGCAUCUCCCCAUCACUUUCCAAAGAUACUUUGUUUUUAGAUCAAUUUGUUGUGCUGGGGUGGCAGUGCGCUUCAACCCACUUUACAUUCCAGUACGUGCUUGAAUCCCUCUCCUGCAAAUAGUUACAUUAUGGAGGUACCCUUACUGCACAUUACAAACAUCCCAAGCUGCUCUUACUUUUACCAUAGCACCAGGAAACAAGCAGCAGCACAUCCCCUAGAAGUAGGUUGCUCAUUUUGCAAAGUAUAAAUAUAGUUACUUAAGAAGCCCAUAGCUAAAUGCAGGGUACAUGUUUUACAUGCAGAAGGUCCUGGGUUCAGUCUCUGGCAUCUCCAGUGGUAGCAGACUAUGAGAAAGACCUCUGCAGAUAGGCUGUAAUCGAUCUCGCUUUAACAGAAAAACUCACUGAGAUCUUGAUGAAAUAGCCUUAAAUUUUAAGGCAAACGGAUGUCAUAGAGGCAAACUAUCCCAGUGAAAUCCUGUGGAGCAGAAGUUUAAGUGCCUGACUCCAGUGACUGUGUCAAGGGUAGCAGCAAUAGCUAAAAAUAAUGUACAGUCGCCUUACACUGUGGAAUAAGACAUGGUUUUAAAUGAUUCUAUUACGGAGGAGUGAUACUAUGGAGCAUUUUGCUCCUGGCGAGAGUUGUAUGGAAUGGCUUGUGUGUUUAAUAAAAAAGUGGGCAGAAAACCAGAUGAGUUGAAAAGAGAAAUAUAAAAUUGGUAAGCUUUUUUAGACGAACUUUCCCCCCAUAAUUCCUUUCUGUGUGCACAAGGGGGUGGAGAGAAAAGAGAGAGGGUGUUUGAUCUUGCAUGCCUCAAAGCAUAGCUGUCAACCUUCCCCUUUUUUACGGGAAAUUCCCUUAUUCCAGCGCCGUUUCCCGCUGCUUCCCGCUGCUAUCCCGGAUUGUUAGAUAUCCCAUAGACUGUUGCCGGGACAGGUGAGGCUGCUGAUCCCUUAUUUUUGAGGCUCCCCAGGACAGGUGAGGCUGCUGAUCCCUUAUUUUCGAGGCUGCUGAUCCCUUAUUUUCAAAUCUGAAAGUUGACAGCUAUGCCUCAAAGUUAUCUUGACCAAUCUGCACUAGAUGGUUACGUCUGUCAUUUUUUUAACACAGGAGAUGCACACAGCACUCCUCCUGCUAAACAGUGCUGGCCAAAAUGUCUGAGAGGAGCAGCUGAAAAUCAAGGUGCUCCUGUUUGCACUUAGUUGACUCCCCAAACCUUCUCAAGCAAGCCACACAGCUUUGGCAUUCUAAUUUGGUUUCAAGUCCUUCUGCAAAAUACAUGUUUUGCUAAUGGGCAGCAUCCUGCAUUGGUCCAUGGAUAAUAUCCAACAUGGUCUGGUGAUGGAGUCUGCUGGAAAGAGAUGGGCUAAGGAACACAGGAAGUUGCCUUAAACCGAGGCAGACAUUGACCCAUCUAACUCAUGAACAGAUUAUUAUGGCAGUGUAUGAUAAAAUAAUUAUAACGUCGUAAAAUGAUAAAAUCAUAAAAUACAGGACAAAUGGCCAACACGGAAUCCACUUAAUAUUUAGGGUGCCUGUGUCAUGAGUUGUGAAGUUCUACAUCUGGCAGGGCAUGAGAUGUACUCUGUUAUCUGAGAUGUGUUUCAGUUUACAACAGCUAUUUUCUAAAAGAACCUUGAUUUAGGGAAAUAUUGUCAAUAUGAAGCCAUAUAAAUCAAAGGGGCAUAAGGGAGUGGGAAAGGAGAAAGCUAAAUUGCUGAGUUUAUAUUACUGGGUUUAAAUUACUGAGUACAUGGAGUGCUUUGAAUCUUUCUAAACACAAAGAUGCAGCGAUGUCCACCAGCUUAGAUGGAAAUAUCAAAAGCUAUUGGCCACAGUAGCUCAGGGGAACCUUCACAUACAGGGGUAAUGCACACUGUAUUGUAGAUGCAGUACUGCAUUAAGCAAGAGGCUAGACUUGUUGACUUCUAAGUCCCCUUCCAGUUUUAUAAUUUCUGCAGUUGACAAUGGUUUAUAUUCAAAGCAAUUUAGGUUGUAAUCCUAACCCCUAGUUUUGGAAUAAGCCACAGUGAAUUUAAUGGGACUUGCUUCUGAGUAGACAUGGUUAGGAUUGUGUUAGCCACUCUUGCUUUCCGUUGACAUAAACAGAACCGCCAUGAUUAAGUUUCCCCAUCGCUUUCAAUGGGACCAAAGUGUGACAAAACAAAGUGUGUUAGUAUUUUUAGGAAAUUAAAACAGAUUAAUGAUCUGGAGAGGCAUUAAAAAAAACCUUUUAAACUAUAAGAAAGAGGCGAGUUUGCCUACAGCAGAAAUUAGCAAGCAUUAGC